AAUAUAACUUCUCGAUCUUUGACAUCAGUUUUUCUGAGACAGAGCAAAUCACGUGACUCGAAAAGCCAGAAUUUGCAAGGCGAGCAACCUGUGUACCAAAAGCACGCGUCAUGAGAU
rnacentral:lncRNA from 1 species